GGGUGGGCUGGCGCAUUCAGUGGGUCGGCGAGGAGGCGUAAGGAGGGCGCGGGGCAGUGCGGGCACUGUGCGUCGCAGGCGGGGGAGAUUUGAGAAGCCGUGGCCUUAGUACGGGAGGACCGGGAUGGACGUACCUCUGGUGUACCAGUUGGCCUGCCAAGGGCAUGGCUGGGUAGCUAUGUACGGAAUGGAUAAGCGCUGAAAGCAUCUAAGCGCGAAGCCAACUUCAAGAUAAGAU
rnacentral:rRNA from 1 species